rnacentral:rRNA from 1 species
AUAUGGUCAAGUGAAAAGAGGGUCCACGGAGGAUGCCUAGGAGCUGCCAGGCGAAGAAGGACGCGACAAGCUGCGAAAAGCCGCGGGGAGGGGC